rnacentral:lncRNA from 1 species
UCAGGCCCGAUCACACUCCAUAGGCCGCCAACACUUCUCUCCGCUGCGGGCCAAAGCCCAUUUUACUCCUUGAGCGCGGCCCAGGCCCAAGCGGCCACAGGCCCUAUCUCAGGCCUGAUCCAGCACCUUCGUCAGUCCAUUCCAGGAGCCCAAGAACCCUUUUGGCUGCAGAUCCGGAUCCACAGUUCCAGCUAGCUCUGCCCGGCGCCAACUUCGUGUUCGAGACUCCACAACGGACGCUUCCGGUUGACUGCAUCCGCCACAGGUGAUAGGUUUCCACUUUUUCUUGAGCUUGUUCAUUUAAUUAUGUUCUAGUUCUCUUGCAUGAUAGCCACGUUCUGAAAACUUACUUUUGUUGUCAAAAUUUAGCCCCUACUUUCAAACCCAUCCUAUUCGCCUUUGAAAAUCUAGAUAUUAAAUUAGCACACCCUAGCAUCUGGACAUUUCUCGGCAUUCUUCGAUCAGAUUACUUUAGGAUCAGAACAACUGUACUACUUGAUUGCAAUCUAAUUUCUUAAAUUGAAUAAUCUUAAUCCUUAAUUCUGAAUAACCGAAGUAAAAAAUCAGCAACAUUUAAAUUUUAAGUUAUUAUUGUGAAGACUUGCUGAUUUCUGAAAUCAUAAUAGAUUGCAUUAGUAGGUUGUCCUGCAUCAAAUUUGAUCUUGCUUCAUAUUUAUUAGGGUUUCAUUAGUGACACUGCAUGUCACAUCUUCACCCAGUGUCAUCAUUGCAUGCCAACCUGUAGUGAUAUGGAUUACUAUUUCAAUCAACCUAAAACCCCUGUAGCUACCAUGGAUUCCGACAUUUUGAGGUCUGUCUUAGAACAGAUCGUUGCCAUACGGGCUGGAUACAAAGAAUUCAGACAAGAGAUCCGUGAGCUCGUGCAACAUUCUAGGACCCCUAAAUCGCCAACCUC